GCCAGAGUGGUGUAGCGGACCGAGUGUUGGGCUAGGAAUCUGGAGACCAGAGUUCGAAUCCCGGCUCAGUCA